CACACAAUCCAGAUCACGGCGGAGUCACCCACACUCGCUCCGCUCUCGCCCCCACAGCCGCACAACCGGCGGCCUCGUCUCCCACCGCCGCCGCCGCCUCUCCCUCGCACGCCUCGCCGGCACCUCUCCCUCACCCGCAUCACCGGCGCCUCUCCCUCUCGGGCCGUUGUUGCCUCUCCGUUGGCCCCGUUGUUGUCGCCCCUGAUGUGCCGCGGCGCCGUGACCCGGCCUCACAGGCACGACCAGGGUGACAACAGCUCCCCGACGCCGCCGCCCUCCGCAAGGAGCGACGACAGCUCGAAGCUCUGCGGCACGGCGUGCGCUGAGCGACGCGCCGCGGGGGCACCGCCGCCUCAGCCCGUCCACGUCCCCAUCGAUGCCGCCGGCCGGCCACACGACCUCACGCUCGUCCAGCUCGAAGCACGCGCCGUCGUGGCCCGCCUCCGGCUGCUUCAGCAGGCCAAGAAACCGAAACGCCCCCCGCGCCCGGCGACCUCGGCAUCUCCAUCGACCGUCUCAGCAAGCUACCUCGCCCGGCUCCCGCAUUGCUGAUGCAAGCCAAGAAACAGGGAGUGCCGGCAGUAGUACUCUGAAUCCAUCAAUGCAACUGAAUCCAAACAUGUGAAUCAAGUUGUGGCAGAAUGAAGGUCAACAAGACGGGGUAGAGGUAAACCUGGACUUCCUUGGGGAUGUAGAUCAACAAGAGGGGGUAGAGGCCAACAUGAGAAGCUAGAGUAGAGGUCCAUUUCAAAGUAAACUUACAGGAGGACAAAGCUACCAACUGCUUACAGGAAAAGCUUGAACCUGGUCGAGCUGGGAACAUUGAUAAAGAAAAGGUGUAAUUUAGCUUUGCGUAAAAUUCAGAGAAGUUGCAUAUGUAUAAAUUGUAUGAUUCACAAGUCCGAAAACCUUCAAGUGUCUUAUUGAA